rnacentral:rRNA from 1 species
CUUGCCCUACGGGACGCAGCAGUGGGGGAUAUUGCACAAUGGGGGAAACCCUGAUGCGGCAACGCCGCGUGAGUGAAGAAGGUCUUCGGAUUGUAAAGCUCUGUUCUUGGUGAAGAUAAUGACGGUAGCCAAGGAGAAAGCUCCGGCUAACUACGUGCCAGCAGCCGCGGUAAUACGUAGGGAGCGAGCGUUGUCCGGAUUUACUGGGUGUAAAGGGUGCGCAGGCGGCUCUGCAAGUCAGGCGUGAAAGCUAGGGGCUCAACCCCUAAAUUGCGCUUGAAACUGUGGAGCUUGAGUGAAGUAGG